UACAGAGGGGGCAAGCGUUAUUCGGAAUUAUUGGGCGUAAAGGGCGCGUAGGCGGCUUGGCAAGUGGAUGGUGAAAUCCCUCGGCUUAACCGAGGAACUGCCGUCCAAACUGCUUCGCUUGAGACCGGGAGAGGUGAGUGGAAUUCCCAGUGUAGCGGUGAAAUGCGUAGAUAUUGGGAGGAACACCAGUGGCGAAGGCGGCUCACUGGACACAUACUGACGCUGAGGUGCGAAAGCGUGGGGAGCAAACAGG
rnacentral:rRNA from 1 species